rnacentral:rRNA from 1 species
UGGGCUUGACAUACACCGGACCGGGCUAGAGAUAGUCCUUCCCUUGUGGCUGGUGUACAGGUGGUGCAUGGUUGUCGUCAGCUCGUGUCGUGAGAUGUUGGGUUAAGUCCCGUAACGAGCGCAACCCUUGUCUUAUGUUGCCAGCACGUUGUGGUGGGGACUCAUGAGAGACUGCCGGGGUUAACUCGGAGGAAGGUGGGGAUGACGUCAAAUCAUCAUGCCCCUUAUGUCCAGGGCUUCACACAUGCUACAAUGGUCGGUACAACAGGUCGCGAUACCGCAAGGUGGAGCUAAUCCUUAAAGCCGGCCUUAGUUCGGAUUGGGGUCUGCAACUCGACCCCAUGAAGUCGGAGUCGCUAGUAAUCGUAGAUCAGCAACGCUGCGGUGAAUACGUUCCCGGGCC